rnacentral:rRNA from 1 species
ACGGAGGGUGCGAGCGUUGUUCGGAAUUAUUGGGCGUAAAGCGCGUGUAGGCGGUUUGUUAAGUCUGAUGUGAAAGCCCCGGGCUCAACCUGGGAAGUGCAUUGGAUACUGGCAGACUUGAAUACGGGAGAGGGUAGUGGAAUUCCUGGUGUAGGAGUGAAAUCCGUAGAUAUCAGGAGGAACACCGGUGGCGAAGGCGGCUACCUGGACCGAUAUUGACGCUGAGACGCGAAAGCGUGGGGAGCAAACAGGAUUAGAUACCCUGGUAGUCCACGCCGUAAACGAUGAGUACUAGGUGUUGCGGGUAUUGACCCCUGCAGUGCCGCAGCUAACGCAUUAAGUACUCCGCCUGGGAAGUACGGUCGCAAGACUA